UGGGGAAUAUUGCACAAUGGGCGCAAGCCUGAUGCAGCAACGCCGCGUGAGGGAUGACGGCCUUCGGGUUGUAAACCUCUUUUAGCAGGGAAGAAGCGAAAGUGACGGUACCUGCAGAAAAAGCGCCGGCUAACUACGUGCCAGCAGCCGCGGUAAUACGUAGGGCGCAAGCGUUAUCCGGAAUUAUUGGGCGUAAAGAGCUCGUAGGCGGUUUGUCGCGUCUGCUGUGAAAUCCCGAGGCUCAACCUCGGGUCUGCAGUGGGUACGGGCAGACUAGAGUGCGGUAGGGGAGAUUGGAAUUCCUGGUGUAGCGGUGGAAUGCGCAGAUAUCAGGAGGAACACCGAUGGCGAAGGCAGAUCUCUGGGCCGUAACUGACGCUGAGGAGCGAAAGGGUGGGGAGCAAACAGGCUUAGAUACCCUGGUAGUCCACCCCGUAAACGUUGGGAACUAGUUGUGGGGUCCAUUCCACGGAUCCCGUGACGCAGCUAACGCAUUAAGUUCCCCGCCUGGGGGAGUACGGCCGCAAGGCUAAAACUUAAAUGAAUUGACGGGGUCAUAGCUGUUUCCU
rnacentral:rRNA from 1 species